UAAUGAUGCGACCACAUAAAUUCUUUCUCUAAGGUAUAAUUCCUGGAUGUACCUUGAUUUGCUUGGUCGACGACUUCAGAGAAGCCAUAAGGUGAGUCUCUCUGCAGAUGCUCGGUUUCUUCGUCACCUUUAACCAAACAAUGUCCUGUUUUUUUCAGUCUGAUCCUUCUCAAGUUCUGUAAUUUAUAUUCCACCUCUUUCAUCGUAGGCCGUUUAACCCCUUUUAAUCUUAAACACAUUUCUACCAAUCCAAUCAUAUCGAUAAGCUCUUCUUCGGUCGCUUCUUUCAUAACAAGAUCAUCUAUAAGAUCAAAGGGGCGAUUCGCUCUCACCGUUUGAANNNNNNNNNNNNNNNNNNNNNNNNNNNNNNNNNNNNNNNNNNNNNNNNNNNNNNNNNNNNNNNNNNNNNNNNNNNNNNNNNNNNNNNNNNNNNNNNNNNNNNNNNNNNNNNNNNNNNNNNNNNNNNNNNNNNNNNNNNNNNNNNNNNNNNNNNNNNNNNNNNNNNNNNNNNNNNNNNNNNNNNNNNNNNNNNNNNNNNNNNNNNNNNNNNNNNNNNNNNNNNNNNNNNNNNNNNNNNNNNNNNNNNGUAGGUGUCAAAGAUUCAUCUGUUGAUAUGAUCUCAAAGUGGUCAGCAGCACAAUUCGGAAAAAGAUUAAUGUACCUUUUUUCCGGAGUCUAUAAUUGAUAUAUAUAUAUAUAUAUAUAUAUAUAUAUCAUUUAUAUUUGAGUCUAUGAUACUUGCACCACGAAUAAAAGAGCAUGCCUCAUGAUUUUAAUUCAAUCUUUAAUCUUUAUGGAUCCAAGUGGUAAUUUUCUACAAAUAAUAACGGUGUUACACCUUGACCUCGAAAGGUCCGUUUGUAUACCUUUAAGGAUCUAAUAAAAAGGUUUUUCUUUUGGGAAAAAAAAAAACAGUAUUACACUAGAUGGAUUGUCGUACAAUUAGGCACCUUCGUUACUGUUUGAGUUUCUAGAAAUCAUCAGGAACUUAACAUAACAGAGAAGCAUGAUUCUGCAUCACUAUGAUCCCAGUUAAUUAUACGUAUUCGAACUCAUUCAAAGAGAGUUAAAGAGGAGGAAAAUUACCUUGACAGCCAUUAGGUACAUAGGGAUUGCCUUGAUAACUUGCGGAACAUUGACACAAAUAUCCACUGCUAUUACUCAAGUACAUUGUCUCAGUCAUGACAUCACGGCAAAGACUAUUUUGACUGACGCAGGCGUAUGUAUCAGUAUUAAUGGCCUCUUCACAUGAAAGAUGAUCAUUCAUGUACCAUGCCAGGGUGGCCUCUACAUUCGUUCUGCUUCCGUUUAAUACUCCUUCGCGAUCAUCAGCAUCAGCAUCGAACAUGAUGAACUUGAUGCCGGAGGUAUUCACCAAGUGUAACUCUCUUUGAUUGAGUCGAGUUAGCUGAAUCUCCAAGGCAGUUGUAUUAUUAAAAUCUAGAUCCAAUGUGCAAUAUCCACUGUUAACGUCGGACCACUCUGAAUAUUGACUCGGAUCACUGGCAGCACAGAGACUGAAACAAGUGCUAAUGGUUUUGUUGGUGGUAAGAUCCACUAGACUGGCCAUAGCGCUACAACCCACAACGUCAAGUCUGUUAAGUGUCGAUCCUGUAUAAGAAUUACGUGACGUCUGUCUCGUCAAGUCAAAAGAGUAAGGCCAGUUCUCCAGAUCAAUCAGUGAGGCGCGUUUAAACUCAUCGUCGACACCCAUGACGACAAUUGGUGGUUUGAUAUAGACAACCCCCUUGUUCAUGUCAAUUCUCGUUACCUCGAUGGUGCCAUCACCCAGGAAAAGCCUGGGAGCACUGGUGGAAUGGUUUCUGCAGGUAAGAUUAAAGCCCGGCCGAAAACAACCAUCGCCGAUGCCGAAAGGAUACUCGAAGCUGAUAUUCCCACAACUUUUUGGGCAGAAAAGAGGGAGGGGAAAAGUUGUGUUUGUUGAUCUACUUUCUGUUCUUAUUGAACCCGUUGAUGUGGAUGCCAGCAGAAAGAGUAACAUCUUGACCAACCCCAUCCCUCCUCUUCCCUCUCCUAAUCCGACCAUUUUCCUCUUCCACCUGCCACAUACCGAGUUGCAUUAGUUGGCCAUGCGGACACAAGCAAAAUGUUAUUGUACACGGUUAGAAAACAAAUACUGAUGACCUUUUAAGUCCAUCCGGUCAAAGUUAACAUAUAUUAGGUCAGAUACUAAUUCAAUAUAAAAAUUUUAAAAUAUUAAAUUAUGAGCCAAACUUAAUUAUAGGAUAUGAGACUAUCAAUCUAUCUUUUCAUCUCACAUAUAUAAAUAUUUUCAACAUAAACUUAUGCAACUUUUUUUUCUAACGGAGUUGAUGGAUAAAUUAGAUUACGUCAGAAUGUGAGCAUUUUCAUGGCAUACGAUUAGAGAUGAGAAAACAACAGAGAAAAAACAUUCAUAUAGUUUAAGUCGAAUUAUUCGGAUCUUUGUAUCAUUCUUCGUAUAAAUAGAAAUAGCAAGACGCUUACACUGGUGUUAUCGAGGGAAGGAGCUCCUGAGGCUUGAGCAGCAUAGAGAUAAGAAGAAGACAGUCAGUGAUGCCUCCUCCUAGAGGGACGAACUUGCCUAAUUAUAGAGAGAAAUAGGUUGAGCGGAAAACUGGAGCUAUACAACUCAACAGUCAAUCACGUUGACGAAGACUCAAGACUUUUAGUGUGGAGUGGUAAUUUAUUCUUUGAACUCGUCAUAGUUGAUCCAUCGGGCACGCUUGAUGAUGAUGCUAACCCUUUGACAAACUUUUAACUCGGAUUGUCGUAUACUGCAUGCAACCAUCAUUUUAAUGCGUCGAUCGCUUUGACAUAAUUAGUUUCAUGAGAAUCUCCAUCACAACUAAGAUCAAGGAUCACAAUUUGGCUCUGCUGUGCAAAUAAUACUUCAUUAACUAAUGCGAUAUCUGUCAGAAAACGAGAUCAGGAAGAGCAACAGAUCGGUUGGUUGACAAGACUUGGAAAAUUUAGCGUUUUGAACUCUUGAGAGCUGUUCCAACGGGCAUUAAAAAAGAUGCUACGUAAUUUUCACAGUCCUGAAGAAAUAAUUAUUGCACUUGAUCAUUAUUGAGAUAUAUAUUAUUUUGUCAUGAUAUGUUCUUCCCAACCAGUAAUCGAAUUUCUGAUUUAGCUCGGCCGUGCAAAUGGUUUAUACUUUGAGAGUUACUUUAAGGUGACACAAAGGUAUCAAACAACCGGUUAACACUUAGGUAGUAAAAUGUAUAUGUGAGUCGAAAAAAGGAUUGUCAUGGUAGAUUUUGAUUUCUAACUUUAUUUUGAUUUUUAUUUUUCCAACAAAAGGGAAGAGAAUUAUGUUGCAGUCAACGAAAUACACCCGACAUUGUUCGUUGUCAGAGCAAACCAAAACUUGUCUUUAAGGAUGGAAAAAGUUAGUAUACUCCUCCUUCUAGAGUAUACUAACUUUGAUCAUGAAGAUUAAAUGAUUAUCUUCUUGUUUUGAUGAAUGUAAAUUUUUUUUUCAUGAAUUUAGGGAUAAAACUAGUGUUACUAAUUGGACGACGACUUGGAAGAUGAACGGAUAGAAAGUUGGAAGAAAGACGGGUCGGCAGUGACCGAAUGUCUUCCUUCUUGUGUCACACAAGAAGAAAGACUAAUCAAUAUUCAUUUUCUAGAUAACAUUUAUUGUCAAACUUCAAUUAAUUUCCAAGGCAAAAAUAUUCAUUACCAGUUGAAUUGUUGAAGACGAAUUCACAAGAUGGUAAACCUAAUAAUAAGCAGAAAAAAAAGAUAAUUGAUCGAAUAUAUGCGAUAGUAAAAAUCUAAAUUUUUUGUUCGAUACCUCAAGUCUUAUUAUAAAUCAUGCAACUUGAGGUUCAUAUAUAGAUAAAUACCAAGUAAUAAUCCUCUUUGAAUUUAUCUCCGAGAAAAAUAGGGUCAGAUCUUAUCCUCUUAAUCAAUAAAAAAUCACGAUUAAACUUUUUUUUUGUCAAAGUUUAAGUUAUCAAAUUAGAUGGAACGCGAAGUCUUGAACAAUCGAAUCAUUGGCAAUCUACUGAUCUUCAUCUUCCACAAACUAUAAUUGCAUAGUUUUGUAAACCUUCAUUUUGUUGAAAAUAUAAUAGUGAAUCGAUGUUUAUUUCCUUCGAAAAGUCUAAUCGCGUGGCCAUCCUUAAGUAUACUUUACUUAUUUGAUUUUCUUUUUUCCACAAGAGUCUACGGUAUAAAUUUCUAAGUCAUCUAACGUGAUACAUCAUCAUGUCUAAUCCAUCAAUUCGCUCAUCCUAUCUCCAUGUCUAUAAGAAAACACGUUUAGUCCAUUUUUUUCCUAUUGUGUUGGUUGACAGAGACGCACCGUGCGAUGAUCCACCCGGAAGUCCAUGGUUAGCUGGUUGACCGACUCGACGACUCCCACAAUUCUCACACUUGUAUGACUUUCACGGACAAUUCGUCCAACAUUAUGUGGUUUAGAAACUCAACAAGAAUCCAACUCUCCACCACUCCAAGAGUUUCUGCGUCAAACGUUGACUCUCUCGACUCAGCUGUGCUGGUGACCCCACCUCAUUGAACUAGUCCGUGGCUAAGGGGGUAGACCAACACGAACUCGUCCUGUAAAUUUGGAUCAAACCCAAAUUUAUUUCCUCAUAAAAAUUAAGAGAUAAAAGUCCAUCGAAAUUUGGAUCUUGUAUUGUGCCUCCUUUUCAUGGAUCAGAUUGUAGUUCCUCGGAUGAGCGUGUACCUCCGCUGGUACAUAUUUGGAAAUCCAAUCCACCGACCAAUUACCAAUGCUUUGUUUGUAUCAUAAAAAUUUUGGAUGAAUAUUAUAAAAUAUGUAACCCAACCGCAUCAAAGUGAUCGGAUGGUGUUGUAAAGAACGAUGAACUCCAUCGAAUCGAAUGGUGGGGCUUUGACCAAAUGAACGCACAAAUUAUGCACAUCUUCACAUGAACAUCAACAUACACGACACUAUAUGUUCAUCGAGGAUAGCUUACUGAAUGACAUUAUUUCUUCCUCCAAACUAAAAUUCCGACAUCUUUCUUGGGUUGCUUGUUAUCCAAAUUUAUAGAUUGCUUCGUGGAAAGUGUGACUUGGAUUCUGCAGAAGACACUCCGAAUCUUCAUGAUUGUUACCGGUCCAAUUAUCACUUCUCUGCUUUUUGAUCAUUCUCAACCUAUGCAACUUAACUCUUAACUCCUUUCAUCGUGGGACUAUAGUUUCCUUUUACUUGUAAACAUAUUUCUUUAAAUCUAACAACAUCAUCAAACUCUUCUUUUGUUCUUUUUUUAUCAUCCUGGUCAUGAUUCUAUCAAACUAUCUGGCCAGAAUUCUAAAAUGAUUAAUAUUUUUUAAAAUUUUUACAUGAUUUUAUUAUAAUAAGUUAUCAAAAUUAAAUAUUUUUUUAAUAGGUUCAAUUUCAAAUGUAACUUUCACAUAUGAUUAACUUUUACUAAAAUAUUUAGUAACAUUUUCUUAUUUAUAACAAAAUUAUUAAAAUUAAAAAAUUUUGAAUAGCGUAUGCGAUCAAAUCGAAGCUCUGUCCAACCUCUGCAAGCUCCAAAACCUCCAACUAAGUGGCACGUUUAUCAACGAUUCGCUAGUCAAUUUGGAAGUGUGGCUUUUUCUGGAUGCCUUAAGUUCGGCUUGGAGGACUUGAUCUUUCUGAGAAUUCGCUCCAUGGUUCAGUGCCUGAUUCUCUUUUUAACCUGUCAUUGCUGCAAUCUUUGGUUCUCGUUCUCAACAAUUUGAAUGGGUCGAUUCCCGAAGGCCUCGGACAACUGAGAAGCCUUGUCUAUUUGGAUCUUUCCGGUAACUCAUUGAGCUUGUCUGAAGUCCACUUGGCUAAUCUAUCAAGUUUAAAGUAUUUGCAUAUUUCUUACCGAUAACAGAGAGAUUUACUCUGAUAACAAAGAGAUUUCCUCAACUGCACGAGGAAAUCUCGCUGCUCAGUUGAGCAAAUCGUCUCUUUCACCGUGUAUAAAACCAUAUGAUACUAAUUGGAACGAGCACUUCUUGUUUUUAUCAUUUCACUCUUCAUUCUUCACUUGCAACACGUCGUUCCUGAUGGAAAAUCAUGAUUGGACUCCUCCUUUUCAACUUAUAACCUUUCAGGAGAGCUUCCUAGUUGUUGGAAGAGUUCUUCACUUCUACGAGUGCUAGAUGUAUCAAACAAUAAAUUACAAGGAGGAAUUCCUGAUUCCCUCCGCAAUUUGCAGCGACUGCAAUCACUACACCUGAGCCACAAUAGUUUAUCUGGGCAGGUCCCUUUUUGUUUAAGAAGAUGUACGAGCUUGAUUACCCUUGAUCUAGAACACAAUAAAUUGAUCGGAAAUAUACCGGAUUGGAGCAAAGAAAGCCUCCUGCAGCUGAAGACGAUUAGCUUAAGCUCUAAUUCCUUCGAUGGGAGCAUUCCUCAAUUUUCUCAUCUUCCAUCCCUUCAAAUAUUGGAUCUUUCAAACAAACAACCUUUCCGGAACUAUACCACGAAGCUUCGGGAACUUCCGUGCUAUGGAACUCUCCUUUCAACCAGAUUACUAUGGCACUGAUAAGUCCGUAAGAAUGGAACAGAUAAUUUAUAAGAAAACGAGUAGAGUCCAUUACCGAUGUCUUGUUUUUAGCUUAAUAAGAAUGGGACAAAUUGGUCAUCUUAUCUUGCUUAAUUAUGUAAGAAUGGAAUAAUUAGUCAAAAAGAAAGCACGUGGUGAUCACUUAUAACUUUUAACUUAAUUUACAGAUGACUGUGUUUUUGGCGAGUGAAAAUGAUGCUAGUGGGGAAGCCAUCUACAACGAGUAGUCCAUAUUAAACUUCACAAGAAGCAAUCAUGUGAGUGCCAGUAUAUAUAUAUAUUUAUAUAUAUAUGUAUAUAUAUAUAUAUGUAUAUAUAUAUAUAUACAUAUAUAUACAUAUAUACAUAUAUAUACAUAUAUACAUAUAUACAUAUAUAUAUAUAUAUAUAUAUGUAUAUAUAUAUAUACAUAUAAAUAUAUAUACAUAUAUAUAUAUAUACAUAUAAAUAUAUAUAUAUAUAUAUAUAUAUAUAUAUAUAUACAUAUAUAUAUAUACAUAUAUAUAUAUAUAUAUAUAUACAUAUAUAUAUAUACAUAUAUAUAUAUAUGUAACAUUCAUAUAUGAUUAUUUUUUUACUAAACGAACUCAAAAUUCUACAGAAUCAUAGGAUAUGAUUCUAAAAUAUUUAGUAACAUUUUCUUAUUUAUAUUUUUUUUUGAAAAAUAAUUAUUAAAAUAAAAAAAAAUUGAAUAGCAUAUGCGAUCAAAUCAUUUUAGUAACAGUUUGAGGAUAAUUUCAUUCAAAUGAAAAAAAAAAAGAUGCCCCCAAGUAAAAAUGAAUAUGGGGUUUAAAAUCAAUAAUGAAAGUUUUUUCCAGUAAAAUGUCCUAAAAUAUUUAGAUAUAUGAAUAUUGCUACUAAAAAUUAUUAGUAAAAUUCGAUGUAUAUGCAAACCUUAUAUAAUGUAUACAAGUGCAACAACUAGCUGAUACCGAGGGAAUUUUACAGAAAAAUAAUAAAUCAAUAUUUAUUAUUUGAAAUUAAUAAAAUCAUAUAAAUAGGCUUAAUUAUUUAUGAUAAUCAUUUUUCUGAAUAUUUUUUAUUUUUAUAAAAGCCUUAAUUUAUAUCCACAUUUAAUAAGGAUCCGAAAGAUAUUCUACUCUAGAAAAGGUGGCAUAUAUAUAUAUAUAUAUAUAUCAUAAUUUCUUGGAGUCCAUUUAUUGACUGUAAUCUAUGCGUGAAUUUAAUUAUUGUAUAAAUGUGUCGAGUUACAAAACGAACAGAAAAUUAGUUCUUAUACAUAAAAAAGAAAAAGGAAAAACACUGGCCUCAUCCGAAUGCCUGACUUGUAUGAUUUGCUGCAAACGGUGAUUUCAGGCUGGGAAAACUGAAAGUUCUAACCCGAGUGGAAGGUGAUAUUAGCUAUAGUCGUCCCUGCCCAAAAAACCUCUUGAGAUUUCUUUGAGAAGACAUGGCGUUGAUUUGAUGAUAGUGCUUUGUGAUGUAGUGUCUUGAUGAUUCCUGCCACAGGUUUUCAAACAGUCUCUUCAUCCUCCAAUAAGGGUUGAUAGAGAUGUACAUCGUGGAAACAACUCCUGCUCGGAAAUUUUCCACCUACAAUUUCCAACUAUAUACGUCGGGCAUUUCUCGUGGCCAUGAUAAUUUACAAAGACAUAAAUCAUGAAAGCAACGCCAUAUAUACCCACUUUGAAAUAUCAAACACAUUGAUCGAGUGAUUUUGAGCUAUCUGAGUAUGGGUCAAGUAAACGAUGAUAAUUUGAAGUAUUUUUUUGUUUUUUUAAUUUUUGAUGAAGAAAAUGAUAACUAUAUAAAAUGAUACCGUGGGCACUGAUAAAUUUAGAAGUCCAAAUCGUACAAUAAGUUUUUAGUGCAUGUUAUGUAAUAUUUGUCUAUACAAAAAAUAAUAGAUUAUGUUAGGCAACGUAUGGUAUAUUCAUUAUAUGUUUGGACAUACUAUAUCACCAUUAAUAAUUAUUAGUAGAACAUGAAUUCAAAGGAAAAAAUAAUCAAAUAAAAUCAUAUAAUAGGAUUUUUUAGAUUAUUUGUUUUUCGAAAGAAUUAAAUUAUAGUUGAUAAUUUCUUCUUAUUUUAUUAGAUAUUAGUUUCUAAGUCAUGAUACAUCAUUAUCAUCAUCAUGUCUAAGCCAUCAAUUCGCUCAUCCUAUCUCCAUUGUGAAAACUAAUUAGUUAGCGCGCUAAAAAUAAAAACCUUUGAGGGUAAGGGAGAUUUGACCGAUUUAUGAGCGUUCUCAUACUCCUCAAUUAAUAUGGGACUAAAUUGUCUUAUCAAUUUCUAAGUAAAAUAAUUAUAAAUAUAGUACCUUACUUAUCUUUUAUGAACAAAAAAAUUACUUUUAUCUAAGCUAGUCAAAGAAAGAAAAAGUCGGAGAGGAGUUUUCAUAAGAAUGGAAAAGUUAUUUUUAUUUGAGAAAAUUCUUUAAAAAAACUCAUAUUCUUUAAAAAAUUCUAAGCUACCACUCUUUUCCUAAAAAAUUCUCGUAGAAUAUAUAUAUUUUUUUAAAUAAUAAUAUUGUCCUUCUUCAUCAUUAUCUUCGCUCAACACCGUCACAUAUCAACCUCGCCUCCCCUUUCCUCUUCCUCUAUUAUCGUUGUUAUCUUUGUCAUCCUCACCCUCGCCAUUGUGACGAUAGGUGGAGGAGCAUCCCGUACUCCCUUGUCAUCAUCGUCCUUUCUUUGUUAUAAGAAUGAUAUCUUUAAUUUGAAAGGACGAUGAUAUCUUCAAUUAUAAUUAAGAUAUUUCAAGAAGUCCAUGAGAAUGAGACAGUUAGUCCAUAAGAAAACAAGUAGAGUCCAUUUGUGAUCUAUCUUGUUUUUAACUUCAUAUAUAAAGAACCAUGGACUUGUAAAGUAAAUUAGAAUGAGACGAAUUGGCAAGUCAACGAUGCUAGUGCGAGUGUGGUUAACAAUAACGUUCCAUAUAUAUAUAUAUAUAUAUAUAUAGAGAGAGAGAGAGAGAGAGAGAGAGAGAGAGAGAGAGAGUGAGGGUUCUCUGUCAUGGAUUGGACCGUAGAGUGAAAUGAGCAACCGAAAUGACCUCAUGCCAUCAUCUAAUACAAAAAGAUGUAAAUCCAAACACGACGGAUCUGAGUUAUAACAUAAACCAAUCGUAUUCAAACGAUUUCAGAAAUAUUACCAUAAAACAUGGACCGAGGACGGUCAUAAAACAAGAGAAGAAUGAGUUGUACACACGUGAUUUCAUCAUAUUAAAGGGUAGUUCUCUGAACAUUACAACACAAGUAGAGUACAGACACAUACCUACUAAUUCUACAUGCCAUUCCCACCAACUCGAUCAUAUAUGUGAUAGAGCCAUAAGAUGGAAACUGUUUUAGGAACAAGUUUGGAACAUAACAUUACCCAUAUGACCAUUACAUACGAUCCUCAAGCAGAAGGAAGCUUAUUCAGUGGCAUUCAAGCAGUCAAUAAUGAUAUGGACAUCGAAUACAAACUCACCGUGGGUGAUGAUGCGACCACAUAAAUUCUUUCUCUAAGGUAUAAUUCCUGGAUGUACCUUGAUUUGCUUGGUCGACGACUUCAGAGAAGCCAUAAGGUGAGUCUCUCGGCGGAUGCUCUGUUUCUUCGUCACUUUUAACCAAACAAUGUCCUGUUUUUUUCAGUCUGAUCCUUCUCAAGUUCUGUAAUUUAUACUCCACCUCUUUCAUCGUAGGCCGUUUAAC
rnacentral:lncRNA from 1 species